UAUGUGAUCGUCUCUCGCAUAUCAAUAAGCGGAGGAAAAGAAACUAACAAGGAUUCCCCUAGUAACGGCGAGUGAAGCGGGAAGAGCUCAAAUUUGAAAUCUUAAAGGGUUUCCCUUUACGAAUUGUAGUUUAAAGAAGUGUUUUCUGUUGAGGUUUUGGUAAAAGUUCUUUGGAAUAGGACAUCAUAGAGGGUGAGAAUCCCGUAUUUGACCUUUACUUUCAACUUUGUGAUACACUUUCAAAGAGUCGGAUUGUUUGGGAAUGCAGUCCAAAAUGGGUGGUAAAUUUCAUCUAAAGCUAAAUAUUGGCGAGAGACCGAUAGCGAACAAGUACCGUGAGGGAAAGAUGAAAAGAACUUUGAAAAGAGAGUUAAACAGUACGUGAAAUUGUCAAAAGGGAAGCGUUUGACACCAGUGUUGUUUUUCUGAAAAUCAAUUAAAGAACUGUUUAUGCUAAGUUGUUUAGACUUUAUCAGCUAACUGUUUAGUUUUGAGCUUUUCUUUAAUGCACUUUUCAGUUAACAAGUCAACAUCAAUUUCUUUUGCUGUAAAAAAGCUUGAGGAAGGUGGCUUGAGAUUCGUCUUAAGUGUUUAUAGCCUCUUGCCUAUGCAGUCGGAGAGAUUGAGGUCUGCAGCGUAGAUCCUUCGGGGCUAAAUGCAUUUGUGCUAAGUUAUAGCAUUUUAUAGACAACUUGUUGACUAUGAUUUGUCUUGUAGCUUACUCGCUUAUGUUAUUUUACCUACGCUUAGGAUGUUGAAUCUGUGCGAGACUAC
rnacentral:rRNA from 1 species